AUACGGAGGGUGCAAGCGUUAUCCGGAAUCACUGGGUUUAAAGGGUGCGUAGGCGGUUUUAUAAGUCAGUGGUAAAAGGUUGUAGCUCAACUAUAAGAGGUCCAUUGAUACUGUAAGACUUGAAUCGAGUUGAGGUUGGCGGAAUGAGACAUGUAGCGGUGAAAUGCUUAGAUAUGUCAUAGAACACCAAUUGCGAAGGCAGCUGACUAGACUUAGAUUGACGCUGAGGCACGAAAGUGUGGGUAGCGAACAGGAUUAGAUACCCUGGUAGUCCACACCCUAAACGAUGUUUACUCGAUGUUUGGCGAAAGCUGAGCGUCCAAGCGAAAGCGUUAAGUAAACCACCUGGGGAGUACGCUCGCAAGAGUGAA
rnacentral:rRNA from 1 species